AGUGAACGCUGGCGGUAGGCCUAACACAUGCAAGUCGAACGGCAGCACAGUAAGAGCUUGCUCUUACGGGUGGCGAGUGGCGGACGGGUGAGGAAUACAUCGGAAUCUACUUUUUCGUGGGGGUUAACGUAGGGAAACUUACGCUAAUACCGCAUACGACCUACGGGUGAAAGCAGGGGAUCUUCGGACCUUGCGCGAUUGAAUGAGCCGAUGUCGGAUUAGCUAGUUGGCGGGGUAAAGGCCCACCAAGGCGACGAUCCGUAGCUGGUCUGAGAGGAUGAUCAGCCACACUGGAACUGAGACACGGUCCAGACUCCUACGGGAGGCAGCAGUGGGGAAUAUUGGACAAUGGGCGCAAGCCUGAUCCAGCCAUACCGCGUGGGUGAAGAAGGCCUUCGGGUUGUAAAGCCCUUUUGUUAGGAAAGAAAAGCAGCAGGUUAAUACCCCGCUGUUCUGACGGUACCCAAAGAAUAAGCACCGGCUAACUUCGUG
rnacentral:rRNA from 1 species